UGAACGCUGGCGGCGUGCUUAACACAUGCAAGUCGUACGAGAACGCUCUAGCUUGCUAGAGCAAGUAAAGUGGCGCACGGGUGAGUAACGCGUGGGUAAUCUACCUUCGAAUUGGGGAUAACGUUGCGAAAGCGACGCUAAUACCGAAUGACAUCCAUAAAGCUUUGGUUUCUUGGAUCAAAGGUGGCCUCUACAUGUAAGCUACUGUUUGAAGAUGAGCCCGCGUACCAUUAGCUAGUUGGCAGGGUAAUGGCCUACCAAGGCAACGAUGGUUAGCUGGUCUGAGAGGAUGAUCAGCCACACUGGAACUGACACACGGUCCAGACUCCUACGGGAGGCAGCAGUGAGGAAUUUUGCGCAAUGGGGGAAACCCUGACGCAGCAACGCCGCGUGAGUGAUGAAGGCUUUCGGGUCGUAAAGCUCUGUCAAGUGGGAAGAACCUGCAGUAUGUUAAUAUCAUAUUGCACUGACGGUACCACUGAAGGAAGCACCGGCUAACUCC
rnacentral:rRNA from 1 species